UGCGUGCUCCAGGCCUUAACCCUUGAGUAAACACGAGGAGCAGGAUGAUCCCGGUGGAGGGAGCCCAGCUUGGCCUGAUCCUCAUUCCUGCUGCCAUGUGUGAAGAGAGAUGGAGGGAGAUACAUCCAGGGUGCAGAGCUGGGCAUGCACCAAGGGCAGCAUGUCCAAAGUCUCCCCCCCUACAGGAGCCUGCAAGAAACUAUUCCUCUUCCUGGACCCUAAAAAGGAGAAUUAUUUCCUUCCCCAGGUUAGAGGAAAUGUAGAAAAUAUGAUCUCUGAGGGAGGAGUGACAGAAUUGUUUGGUCCAGAGGAGCCAAGCCUGGGACAGCUGGGGAUGAACUGACCUCCAGCCCCCCCUUCACAGCUGCACUUCCUGCCCUGCU